UCUUUAAGGAACUUCACGUCCAGACAAAUAACCGAUAUUUCGCCUCUGCAGAUAUGACUCAAUGAGUUUUCGAAACUCUAAAUUUUUGGUUAUAUGAUAAUGAUCACAACAUGAGGAGAUGCAGGCAUCUAAGGGAUGUUUCCUAAGCUCAACUCAAUCCAUCAAAUGAGCACACAAAAUUCGAGUAUGACUUGAGUCCCCCACCAAGGCAAAAUAGGUAAAUGUAAAAACAGAGAAACAAGCAUCACUUGACUUCAUGAACU